rnacentral:rRNA from 1 species
AUUGAACGCUGGCGGCAUGCCUUACACAUGCAAGUCGAACGGCAGCACGGGUGCUUGCACCUGGUGGCGAGUGGCGAACGGGUGAGUAAUACAUCGGAACAUGUCCUGUAGUGGGGGAUAGCCCGGCGAAAGCCGGAUUAAUACCGCAUACGAUCCACGGAUGAAAGCGGGGGACCUUCGGGCCUCGCGCUAUAGGGUUGGCCGAUGGCUGAUUAGCUAGUUGGUGGGGUAAAGGCCUACCAAGGCGACGAUCAGUAGCUGGUCUGAGAGGACGACCAGCCACACUGGGACUGAGACACGGCCCAGACUCCUACGGGAGGCAGCAGUGGGGAAUUUUGGACAAUGGGCGAAAGCCUGAUCCAGCAAUGCCGCGUGUGUGAAGAAGGCCUUCGGGUUGUAAAGCACUUUUGUCCGGAAAGAAAUCCUUGGCUCUAAUACAGUCGGGGGAUGACGGUACCGGAAGAAUAAGCACCGGCUACUACGUG